rnacentral:rRNA from 1 species
GUGCACCAGGCGCGAAACUUUUGCAAUGCGCGUAAGCGUGACAAAGUCAUCCCGAGUGCCACCCGCUGAGGGUGGCUUUUCCACAGUCUAAAAAGCUGUGGGAAUAAGGGGAGGGUAAGUCGGGUGUCAGCCGCCGCGGUAAUACCCGCUCCCCGAGUGGUGGGGGCUUUUACUGAGCUUAAAGCGCCCGUAGCCGGUCAUGCGUGUCUCCAGUUAAAUCCAGCAGCCUAACUGCUGGGCCGCUGGAGAUACUGUAUGACUUGGAGGCGGGAGAGGCUGCCGGUAGUCCCAGGGUAGGAGUGAAAUCCUAUAAUCCCUAGAGGACCACCAGUGGCGAAGGCGGUCGGCUAGAACGCGCCCGACGGUGAGGGACGAAAGCUGGGGGAGCGAACCGGAUUAGAUACCCGGGUAGUCC